AAGGUACUUAGCCCAUAUAUACAUUAGACAUUAGAGUCACAUAUGUACGAAAUCACGAAUCGAAUUCAACAUACUAGCUAAUAUUUCCCCUUAGCCGAAUUUUCUAAGUCAAGCUAAAGCCAUCAAUAGGCUACCUAUGGCCGAACAUACACAUAACUUAUGUACUUAUUCAUGUGGCCGAACAUACAUGUCUAUGUUGGGGCCGAUUGCAACACUUAAUACAUUCUACAAGUAUGGUCACUUGUAUUGACUAAACACCAUUUUGUUUCAAGUUCAAAACUUGGCUAAUACACACAUAUAUACACUAGUAAAGCAUCCUCUCCCUUUCCAUCAAUUUAACACAUGCAUUACUCAUUAAUAUACAAAAAUUAUAUUCGGCCUUAGCACACAACUUGCUAGCCGAUUCUUCUCCAUCUAGCAACUAAUGCACAUAUGUGCUCAUUUGUUAGACUCUACUUCCUCUAACAACAACCAUAUUUUUCCCUUCUACUUCCUACCAUGGCCGAAUGCAUCACAACACCAUACCAUUUCCAUUUUUGGUCAUGGUUAAACAAAGAACUUAAUGUCUCACUCAAAAAUGCUAAAAAGAAGAUUCAAGAAUCAUCAAUCCACCAUCACAUGCACCAUUACAAAGCUUCACUUUUAGCAUGCAAAUGAUAUCAACACAAAUCCACCUUAGCCGAAUAUCAUCUCCAUGACAUAGUAAAGAUUUGAACCAUGGGCUAGUUAGAACUCAAGCUAACUACUAAAAUAUACAUGAAUCUCAUGGAGCAACCUCAAACAUACCUUAGCCUAG
rnacentral:lncRNA from 1 species